rnacentral:rRNA from 1 species
GACGAACGCUGGCGGCGUGCCUAAUACAUGCAAGUCGAACGCAGUGGGGACGGGUGAGUAACACGUGGGUAACCUCCAAUCAGAGGGGAUAACACUUGGAAACAGGUGCUAAACCGAUACUGAUGGAUGAACCCGCUGCGCAUUAGCUAGGUGGUGAGGUAACGGCUCACCAAGGCCACGAUGAAUAGCCGACCUGAGAGGGUGAUCGGCCACACUGGUACUGAGACACGGCCCAUACGCCGACGGGAGGCAGCAGUAGGGAAUCGGCGGCAAUGGACGAAAGUCUGACCGAGCAACGCCGCGUGAGUGAAGAAGGUUGUCGGAUCGUAAAACUCUGUUGUUAGAGAAGCGGUAUCUAACCAGAAAGCCACGGCUAACUACGUGCCAGCAGCCGCGGUAAUUC